AAUACAAACCAGUAGAGUAGACCCACGAACACCACAUCGUGCUUCACUACAUCUACCCCUCGCACCUCUGGUAGAACCCCUACCUCUCACAGCCAAAAAAGGAGUAGCUUUAGUCACUUGAUGGGGAUAGUCCUUGGCCAUAUUGCCAAUCUUAUCACACAUAAAGAAACCUCUAUCAACCGACUCAAUCAGAGAAGGCAUGACUAUGCC
rnacentral:lncRNA from 1 species